GUUCCCUGCCCAGCCCCGCCGAAGGAUAUUUUUGGAAGCUGAAGGAUCAGGGCCGAGAUUUGGGAUUUUGUGCAUCCCUCAAUGAGCCCGGCAACGCCCCGCUCCCCCUGGCCCUGGUGGCACCGUCCCUGUCCCCACAGUGUCCCCGCGGUGGCACCGUCCCUGUCCCAUCCCUGUCCCUGCGGUGGCACCGUCCCUGUCCCUGUGGUGGCACCGUCCUUGUCCCUGCAGUGGCAAUGUCCCUGUCCCCAUGGUGGCACCGUCCCUGUCCCAGCUGUGUCCCCUCGGUGGCACCAUCCCUGUCCCUUCCCUGUCCCCAUGGUGGCACCAUCCCUGUCCCUGCAGUGGCACCGUCCCUGUCCCAUCCCUGUCCCUGCAGUGGCAGUGUCCCUGUCCCAUCCCUGUCCCUGCAGUGGCAGUGUCCCUGUCCCUGCGGUGGCACCAUCCCUGUCCCAUCCCUGUCCCCUCGGUGGCACCGUCCCUGUCCCAGCUGUGUCCCUGCGGUGGCACCGUCCCUGUCCCUUCCCUGUCCCCACGGUGGCACCGUCCCUGUCCCUUCCCUGUCCCCUCGGUGGCACCGUCCCUGUCCCAUCCCUGUCCCCAUGGUGGCACCGUCCCUGUCCCCAUGGUGGCACUGUCCCUGUCCCAUCCCUGUCCCUGAAGUGGCACCGUCCCUGUCCCAUCCCUGUCCCCUCGGUGGCACCGUCCCUGUCCCCUCCGUGCCCCGCGGGCCCGUGUCCCCAGCUCUGUGACGUGAUCAGAGGCCUCGCCGUGCUGCCUUUGCACAACCGCGCUGUGUGUGCCCGUCGCAUUCCAGGUGUGUCGCUCCAGGCCCCGGCCUGGACAGAGAAUUAUUUUUCUGCAGGUUUUCUUUUUUUUUGGAUGUUCUUUCUGGUGACUGAUGUAAACUACUGGUUAAUUUUAUGUUUUUAUUUAUAAAUAAAUUUUAUAAAACUUCCCCAGCCUCUCUCUGCAGGUGCUUGGCGGCGUUCUGGGCAUUUUCUGUGCCUGAGCCACCAGAAUUAGAUUGGAUAUUAGGAAAAAAAAUUUUCACUGAAAGAAUAAUAAAACACUGGAAUUGUCUUCCCAUGGAGGUGGUGGAAUCACCACCUCUGGAUAUUUUUUAAAAAAGGCUGUGUCAGAAUCUGUAGUAUUGAUGAUUCUGAGAUUGCAGAAAGUCUCUGUCUGUCAGCCCCAUUGCCAAAGCAGAAGCCAUAAUUGGUCUGUGCUGUUUCAAGGUGGUUUAUUCUGUUUAUCUCUAACAUGUUCUGCUGCCCUGCCGCAGCUCUGUCCUGCAGGGCAGCGUGUGGGGCUCUGCCCUCAGUGGGAUGGUACAAACAUUAAAUACCACAAACUCCCUGUGCUGGAUUUACAAUAACGUGCCAAUAUCUGUCACCUACGUUGGACAGUGUGUCCCCAGCCUGAACCAACAGAAAAAUGCCAACACCACAGUGAAACAUGGAGGGCAUGAAGAAGGAGAGAAAGGACAAGGCACACCCAAUUUCCUCCAUCUUGUCCCCUCUGAACCCCUAAUCUAGAAACCUAAAAUUUUACUUUUGCACCCGUGCCACACUUAAUUAUUACUGAUAUCAAACACUCAGAGCUGGUAAUUGAUCCUGUAAGAUUGAAAACUCUUUUCCAUGGCCAGAGAUCACAGCCAGUGUCUCUGGGGGCUCUGUCCAGGGGGUUCCUGACCCCUGCCAGGGUCCCAGGGCAGCCAGAGGGAAGCCCUGGAUUCCCACAGACUGGAUUUGACACUUGGUUGAGGUGUCAGGGCAUGGGUUGGGCUUGAUGAUCUUAGAGGUCUCUUCCAACCUCAUUAUUCUGUGAUUCUGCGUGAUUUAUCUCAGCCCAGCAGGGUCCCCUCUGGGGACAUCCUGCACCUGGCCCUGCUUUUUCCAGCCCGGAGUUAUCUCUGCUCUGCAGCUGGGCCAACCCGAGCACGGAGCAGCAGGGAUUGGGCUCGGGGAGCUCAGGCAGGGUGGGAUAAUCUGGUUUUCACCCUGGGCCCAUCCCCAGCAUCCCUGAGCAGGCAGCUCUGGAUCCUGGGGAGAUCCAGGAAAACAAUUCCCGAGGGAGAGGCGAAGCGUGGCUGCUGGAACAAACCCGAGGUUCUAUUUUGACUAUUUCAGUUGUUUUGCUCCAAACUGAAUCAACUCCACAAAAAAAACCCAAAAACAAACAGUGUGGGGAAGGCAAACGGGAAGGUUGGGGAGUAGAAAAUGGGGGAAAGUCUCCAAUUUCAGGAAAUUCUGCUCAUUCUGCCCCAUCUGGCUGCACCCACAUGGCAGGGGCAGGAUCUGGGCACCCCAAAAAGGCACCUGGCACCUGCUGCAGCUCCCCAGGGAAAUUUGGCUGCGCUCCCGCUGCCCCAGGAGCGAGGGAAAUAGAUUUUUAGAGUUUAUUUAUUUUUUAGUUUAUUUUGGAACUGUUGGGGAGGGAAGGGACAGGAAAUCCCUGUGAGGGCUCUGUGCCCUGAGGGUCCCUCCUGUCACAGCCCGGCCAGGGGUGCAGCCCAGCCCUUCCCAGCCCUUCCGAGAGCUCAAGGAUGUGAAUUAUUCCUGGGAGAUCCCCAGGGUGUGAGCUGCUCCUGUCCUGGGACAGCCCCAGGAUGCGAAUUAUUCCUGGGACAGCCCCAGGAUGUGAAUUAUUCCUGUCCUGGGAGAGCUCCAGGAUGUGAACUCCUCGGAGAGCUCCAAGGUGUGAAUUAUUCCUGUCCUGGGAGAGCCCCAGGAUGUGAGCUGCUCCUGUCCUGGGACAGCCCCAGGGGUGAGCUGCUCCCGGGAGAGCCCCAGCACGGCUGGGACCCUCCUCCUGCAGGAGGCAGAGCAGAAAGGAGCAGCAAGGCCGGAUGAUCCCAGGGGAAAAUCACUCUCUGGUGGCAGGCAGAGCUCCCUCAGGGCCAGCCUCAGCAGGACCAGGGUUUUUUGGGAGAAAAGGGAGGAGGAGCCCAGCCGGAGCACCCCCGGCCCGGGGGUCCCUGCUCGGCUCCAGCCCCGCCGCAGCUGCCGCGGGAGCUGCGCGAUCGUUGGGCUAAUGAGCGCAUGCAAAUCAGCCCCGGACGGAGAAAAGCUCAUUUGCAUCUCAUUUAAACGCCCCGGUGGCACCGCACGCGUGUCUGGCUGUGUGCGGGGCAGAGCCAGCCCUAAACCCAAAACCGAACCCGAACCCAAUCCCAGACCCGAGCCCAAAUCCCAACCCAGUCCCAAUCCCAAUCCCAAUCCCAAUCCCAAUCCCCCCAAAUCCGAACCCAAUCCCAAUCCAAAUCCCCCCCGAACCCGAACCCAAUCCCAAACCCGAACCCAAAUCCAAGCUCAGUCCCAAUCCAAAUCCCCCCAAACCCGAACCCAAUCCCAAUCCAAAUCCCCCCAAACCCGAACCCAAACCCAGUUCCUACCCCAAACCCGA
rnacentral:lncRNA from 1 species